rnacentral:siRNA from 1 species
UAUGGUGAUAGCAUGAACAUUA